GAUGAACGCUGGCGGCGUGCCUAACACAUGCAAGUCGAACGGAGAUUACGGACGGAAGUUUUCGGAUGGAAGACUGUAAUUCUUAGUGGCGGACGGGUGAGUAACGCGUGGGCAACCUGCCCUAUACAGGGGGAUAGCAGCUGGAAACGGCUGGUAAGACCGCAUAAGUCGGCGAGACCGCAUGGUUUUGCCGGGAAAUGAGCAAUCAGGUAUAGGAUGGGCCCGCGUCCGAUUAGCCAGUUGGCAGGGUAAAAGCCUACCAAAGCAACGAUCGGUAGCCGGACUGAGAGGUCGGACGGCCACAUUGGGACUGAGACACGGCCCAAACUCCUACGGGAGGCAGCAGUGGGGGAUAUUGCACAAUGGAGGAAACUCUGAUGCAGCGACGCCGCGUGAGUGAAGAAGUAUUUCGGUAUGUAAAGCUCUAUCAGCAGGGAAGAAGAUGACGGUACCUGACGAAGAAGCCCCGGCUAACUACGUG
rnacentral:rRNA from 1 species